UGCAAGUCGAGCGGACAGAUGGGAGCUUGCUCCCUGAUGUUAGCGGCGGACGGGUGAGUAACACGUGGGUAACCUGCCUGUAAGACUGGGAUAACUCCGGGAAACCGGGGCUAAUACCGGAUGCUUGUUUGAACCGCAUGGUUCAAACAUAAAAGGUGGCUUCGGCUACCACUUACAGAUGGACCCGCGGCGCAUUAGCUAGUUGGUGAGGUAACGGCUCACCAAGGCGACGAUGCGUAGCCGACCUGAGAGGGUGAUCGGCCACACUGGGACUGAGACACGGCCCAGACUCCUACGGGAGGCAGCAGUAGGGAAUCUUCCGCAAUGGACGAAAGUCUGACGGAGCAACGCCGCGUGAGUGAUGAAGGUUUUCGGAUCGUAAAGCUCUGUUGUUAGGGAAAAACAAGUGCCGUUCAAAUAGGGCGGCACCUUGACGGUACCUAACCAGAAAGCCACGGCUAACUACGUGCCAGCAGCCGCGGUAAUACGUAGGUGGCAAGCGUUGUCCGGAAUUAUUGGGCGUAAAGGGCUCGCA
rnacentral:rRNA from 1 species